rnacentral:rRNA from 1 species
AGAGUUUGAUCAUGGCUCAGAUUGAACGCUGGCGGUAGGCUUAACACAUGCAAGUCGUGCGAGAAAGUAUCUUCGGAUAUGAGUAGAGCGGCGGACGGGUGAGUAACGCGUAGGAAUCUACCUAGUAGAAGGGGAUAGCCCGGGGAAACCCGGAUUAAUACCGUAUACCUCCUUCGGGAGAAAGAAGGCCUCUCUUUGAAGCUUUCGCUACUAGAUGAGCCUGCGUAAGAUUAGCUUGUUGGUGAGGUAAAGGCUCACCAAGGCGACGAUCUUUAGCUGGUCUGAGAGGACGAUCAGCCACAUUGGGACUGAGACACGGCCCAGACUCCUACGGGAGGCAGCAGUGGGGAAUAUUGGACAAUGGGCGCAAGCCUGAUCCAGCCAUGCCGCGUGUGUGAAGAAGGCUCUAGGGUUGUAAAGCACUUUCAGUAGGGAGGAAGGCCAGAGUGUUAAUAGCGCUUUGGAUUGACGUUACCUACAGAAGCAGCACCGGCUAACUCCGUGCCAGCAGCCGCGGUAAUACGGAGGGUGCGAGCGUUAAUCGGAAUUACUGGGCGUAAAGCGCGCGUAGGUGGUUUGUUAAGUUGGAUGUGAAAGCCCUGGGCUCAACCUAGGAACUGCAUCCAAAACUAACUCACUAGAGUACGAUAGAGGGAGGUAGAAUUCAUAGUGUAGCGGUGGAAUGCGUAGAUAUUAUGAAGAAUACCAGUGGCGAAGGCGGCCUCCUGGAUCUGUACUGACACUGAGGUGCGAAAGCGUGGGUAGCGAACAGGAUUAGAUACCCUGGUAGUCCACGCC